rnacentral:tRNA from 1 species
GGGCCCGUAGUAUACCGGUAACACGCUACAAUGGCAUUGUAGAGUAGGGGGUUCAAUUCCCCCCGGGUCCA